AUUCCAGCUCCAAUAGCGUAUAUUAAAGUUGUUGCGGUUAAAAAGCUCGUAGUUGGAGUUCUGCCAGGUGCCGCCUGUCCGCCCCAGUGGUGAGUACGUGGCGCGCAUUUGGCCCUUUCAAGGGGAGCGUAUCUGCACUUUAUUGUGUGGUGCGGGAUCCUUGACUUUUACUUUGAGGAAAUAGGAGUGUUCCAAGCAGGCUCUCGUCGUGCACAGCUCAGCAUGGAAUAAUAGCAUUGGACCUCGAUUCUAAGCUGUUGGUUGCCAGAAGCGAGGUAAUGAUGAAGAGGGAUAGUUGGGGGCAUUCGUAUUUAACUGUCAGAGGUGAAAUUCUUGGAUUAACGGAAGAUGAACUUCUGCGAAAGCAUCUGCCAAGGAUGUUUUCGUUG
rnacentral:rRNA from 1 species